GUGUCUGCGGGAGGCAGGAGGAGCAUCCGCCCUUAUAAAGGGAAGUCACCCAGGGAGCCGGCUGCGAGGCCGCGUGUUGUCCACCCCGCCCUCGGCCGCCCCGCCCUCCCCGCCUUCGGCCACCCGGGCUACCCCCAUCCCUUCCUCCCAGAGUGGUGUUUGACCCCUUCAGACGCUCACUGCAUUGCUUUUGAGCUCGCUGUGUGGCCCGGACUCGCCUCGAACUCAAAGCAAUCCUUCUGCCUCGGCCUCCCGAGUACUAGGAUUACAAACACGCGCCACCAAUGCCCAGGCUUGCCCGCUUCCUUGGCUCGUUCUGCUCGGCCUUGUCAAGGGCCCGGACUGUGCUCUUUGGGAGUAGUAAUCUGCAGUCCCUCUGCCUAGGAAUCAGCAAGUUCGUGGGGAUGGGCUUCUUCAUUACCGCGUCUUGAUUCUGAUGAUUCCCGGACACGGACUGGGAUGUCGGGCAAGCACGUGAAAUGCAAAGAGCCAGGUGCCCGGCUCCUGAGCGGACAGACCUUCUGCAGCCGCAGUCUCCUGAUUCCGGGUAAGCCCAGAGCCGCAGACCCCAGCGGUCGCCCUGUCUUUCCGCACGGCUGCCUGAAACCAGGAGCUUCAAGACGAUGGCGAUGGCUCGCCUCUGUUCUACAGACUACAGAGCUCCACCUGAAGCUGCCAGGACAAUUUGGACAGAACCGGCCCAGACCUUCCUGACUUCACCAGGAGCAUCACGGAACAAAACCCCUACAUUUCCGGGCUAUGAGUAUCAGUAUAAGUUCAAAAGGUCCCCAGGGUUAGCUAGGGCAAAGGACAGUUUGCAGAAGAUUGUGUAAAAACAGCUGGUCGGAAAGGCAGGUGCAGAAACGUUAUUGGCCCCUUUUUGUAGGAGAUUGUUGUUGUUUGUUUGGUUGGUUAUUUUGCUUUUGUUUUUAAUUUAGAGACAGCCUCGUGUAACCUGCCCGGGCGAGCCUCCAACUUGAUCCUUCUGAUGGUGUUAAGGAAUCUUCCACCCUCAUCCCGCCCCUCCCCACCCCCACAGAAUCUACCCUCGUUUAAAAGUCACUACCCAAGGACUACUAGGUAAAAAUAGCACUCCCCCCCCGUCCUUAUUUUUUUCUUUCAGAAUCCCUCUUAGCGGAAGUGCCCGCUGGGUACAGAGAGCCUGGGGAGUCUGUCUGAGAAGUCACAGCGCCCACCAUUCCAGCAUGCUCAGGAUUCUGUACACUGCCCCCUCCCGAAGUGGAUGGAUGGCGCCAGCGAGACAGCUAAGGAAGAAAAGGCACACAGUCACUCUCAAUGGUUAACCAAUGUCGCUUGUUUACAGUGAAGAUCCGGACUCCUUUCUCAAUUGUUUAUAUGGUGGAUUACAUUGAUGGAUUUUCGUAUGUUGAACCAUCC